rnacentral:lncRNA from 1 species
GUCUUUCUCUCUCUCUCUCAUUGUAUCUUCUGGUAACUAGACAUGCCCCAGGCUUAACAUCUAUCUACUCACAGUGAAUACCAUGGGAAGGGGGCACCCCUGUACCCCAUUCCAUCUUUAUUAUACAAUUAAUAUUAUCUAUCAGUUAAAGGGCUGAGAAAAAUAAUAAAGAAAGUGGAUAAUAACAGUGAAGCAUGCAGAGGAGCCUUUGAGCAAAGUUUAGCAAAACAGAGUCUAAGAAGCAGAGGUAUAGGAAGCUCUCAACUUCCUGCUGGCAAACUUCCUGUUUCCUGGGAUCUCAGGAAACAUCAAGGAGGAGGUCAAGGUGCCAUAGCAGGAGGCUGGCUCAGAAAUUAUUAGGGAGGAUGGAAUAGCUCAAGAAAUAAUUUUUUUUAAAGAAUCAAGAUGAGAAUGUUACCAAUUACUAGGGGAAGAAACAAGUUGCUGGCAUUAUUCCAGUAUAAACAAGCUAGGGCAUCAAAAAGACAUCUCAGAGGGACUGUCCCCUGGUAUCUGAGGAACAGAAGGCAAGGCUGAGAGGUUUAGCAAGUCCUUCCUUGCUGUCUAUUUUGGUGCCUGGAUAAAAUGCUCUGUGGUCCCAAGGACUGCAAGAUCCCAAAUGGCAUCCAUGAAACCAUCAGUGCUGGCUUUGGCCAAUGGGAAUAGAGCGGUCAGCAUCCAAUUAGGGCAAGGGUGUCCUGGAACACUCUGGAAAUUUUGCUUCUGGAACUCAAGUUUAUCUUUACCACCACAUUUUGUCAUAACUUCUAGGUCCUCAUGGCAUAUUGAAGUUAGUGAGGAGCUUGUUUGAGGGAGGGCAACUUUUCCUGCUGUAUGCAUGUAGUAAGAGUACAUGUGUAACAAAGUUCUUCUGACACCAUUAGCAUACAAAUGUUCAGACAACGACCCCAGCUGCUUCCACGGUCUCUACCCAACUGGAGGUAUUGAGAGACCUUGGAUGAGCAACCCAAAACCCUGCACUGCAAUGGCUGUUUAUGGUGCACGUUUAGAAAGGACACCUGCCACUUCUCUUCUGCUUAGCAGAGAACAUCAAUGCUGUGUGUGCUGGAACACAUCCUAAAGCACUCAUUUCCCAAAGGUCAGGGCACCAUCAUGGGCCAGCCUCUGCUCUAAGACCACAGGAUCUCCCACCAUGUGGACAAACAGCAAGCUUCCAAGCUAAGGAAACUCAGAAAACAGCCCCAAGGAAACAGGUUCUGCAGGUAGCAGCCAGAGCCCCCAGGUGGCUAGCAACUGGAUCUCUGCCUUAUAUUCCUAACUUGGCUUCCAAAGAUGGGCUCUUCAUACCAAAGAUGGGCUUCUCAUCCAAGAGAUGGGCUCUCCAUUCAGGAGAUGGAGGACUUUAUUCCAGAAACAAGAAGUUCAUUCUUAGGGAACAAGAAUCACAGAAUUAUUGUGCUAAAGCUCCUGGGGCAGCUCCACAUGUUAGAGUAGUUGAAUUCUAACUGGUUUUUUCUAGAAGAACGGAUGUCUUUCAGGAUGGAACUUGGCCUCAUUCUUUAAAAGCUUUCCUCCCGAUGAAAGGUUAUAUAGAGACCAUAAAAGAGCUGAAUUCCACCUUUAAAAACUCAAAAUUGUUGCCUAGUACUAAAAUGGAAAGAUACCAGACAGGCUAUUUUUAAGUUACUACUAGAGUCUUCAGAGCUUCAGUGUCAUCUACUGCUGAGCUGAUGACAGGCAGGGACUUUACAGGAACCAGUGGAUCCGAUUAGCACCAGGGGUCCACAAGUCAGGCAGGCAUUUCCUGGCUAUGAAUUAUCAGUGGCAUCUUUAAACACAAAUCGACAGCCAAAACCAGCACAGCCUUCUCUGGACUCUCAGAACCUUAGUGGGGAGCUACCCUACCCAAGUUUUAUAUUCUAAUUUUUUUUUUUAAUGGAAGAACAUCUUGAGAUUUUUGUUGUCACGCUGACAUCUAUGCUUGGG